AGGCGUAGCCUGCAGCUGCUGAUGUGAGCUCAGAGUUUCAGCCUGAACAGACGGAGCAUUUCCACGGACGGCUGCAGUUCAGAUCUGUAAUGAAAGCUGGAAACACAGACAGACAGAAACCAACAUCUUCCUUUCAGAGCCUCUUGUUGAACAUGGACCACACCCUGAUGGCGCUCCUGCUGUGGCUCUGCUGUUCAGGUGUUCAUGCAGAUGAAACCCACAGCCUGAAAGAGUCCAUCAGGUUGGUGGGAGGAUCCAGACGCUGUGACGGUCAAUGGGAGUUGAAUCUGGGAGAAUGGAGACCAGUUCACAUCGAAGGUUUUUAUGAUGGCCUGAAAGAAGCUUCAGUUAUCUGCAGACAGCUGGACUGUGGCUCAGCUGUUUCAGCUAGAGAUCAUGAGCCAUCAUUUUUAAUCCCUGUAUGGACGGUCUCCUCAGAGUGUCUUCUGUCUGGAUCUGAUCUCAAGGACUGCGCAAUAAAAGAAGAAGCAUUUGGUUCUGUAUGGUUCACCUGCUCAGAGUCUGUCAGAUUGGUGAACGGGGGAGAUGGCUGUUCAGGCAGACUGGAGGUGAAGGUCUCCCAGUCUAGCCAGUUUAACCAGAGCUGGUCUUCAGUGUGUGAAGCUGACUUUGACCACCAGGAUGCAGAGGUGGUGUGUAGGGAGUUCAACUGUGGGUCUCCUAAAGUCCUAAAGGGAGGGCUCUAUGGAGAGGUGGAGGCUCCAAUGUGGUCACCACAGUUCCAGUGUGGAGAUAAUGAGUCUUCUCUCCUGGACUGUAGAAGGUCCGACUCAGCCAGAAACUCCUGCUCACCUGGAAAAGCUGUUGGACUCACCUGCUCAGAACCGUUGAGGUUGGUGGGGGGACCCAGUCCUUGUGAAGGUAGACUCCAGAUAAGACGUGAGGGAAAAUGGCGACUGGGGAUAUUGUGGAGCUUAAAGUCUUGGACCCUGAACCACACAGAGAUUAUCUGUAAAUGGCUGGGCUGUGGCUCUGCUGUUUCAAUGGAAAGAAACACAGAGCCACUCCAGCAAGAAAUGUCUGAGAUCUAUCUUCACUGCAUUGAGCGAGUACCUUCUAUCAGGGAAUGCAUGUUUUAUACAGAAUAUUCAACUGAAGCCAUCAAACUCAAGUGUUUAGGUGAGUCAAACAGUGACACUUCUUCUCUAACUGGGUCACAAGUUCUGCUGAGUAACAUGAAAGUAAACAUGAAGGAUGAAAACUCAUCUGGAGUCAGAAACCAGCCUGAACGUAUCAGGCUGAUAGAGGAACAUAACAGGUUCCUCAAGCAGCCUUUAAAGGUUCGUUUUAAUUUUCCUUCAGGUCAACAGUCUGUCAGUGCUAAAUAAACCAGAGGUUGCUUUCUCUUCUGAUUUCUCAUCAAUCAAUCAAAUUUAUUUGUAUAGCACAUUUCAGCAACAAGGCAGUCGAAAAUUCUUUAAAUCAUAAAAAUACAAAGUCAUAAAGGGUUCCUCCAGCCAAUAAUCUCCCUUCGCUUUGUGUUUCCAGAACCAGACAGAGCCACAGAUGGGAACCUUCGUCUCACAGUUUUUACACCAGUUUUUAUCUUCUGUCUGGUUCUCCUGCUGCUGAGCGUCACCUUCUUCAUCUUCGC